rnacentral:rRNA from 1 species
AGCUCCAAUAGCGUAUAUUAAAGUUGUUGCAGUUAAAAAGCUCGUAGUUGGAUCUCGGGUACUAGCAUGUGGUACGCAUAACUGCUGUUACUACAUGUCUGGUCCUAAUCAAUCGGUUGGCCGUUGAUGUCCUUCAUUGGGUGUUUUCGGUAGCCGGUACGUUUACUUUGAGAAAAUUAGAGUGCUUAAAGCAGGCUAUAGGCCUGAAUAAUGUUGCAUGGAAUAAUAGAAUAGGACCUCGGUUCUAUUGUGUGGGUUUUGUAGAGCAUUGAGGUAAUGAUGAAUAGGGACAGACGGGGGCAUGCGUAUUGCGGUGUUAGAGGUGAAAUUCUUGGAUCGCCGCAAGACGAACAACUGCGAAAGCAUUUGCCAAGAAUGUUUUCA